rnacentral:rRNA from 1 species
GCAACGCGAAGAACCUUACCAGGCCUUGACAUGCAGAGAACUUCCAGAGAUGGAUUGGUGCCUUCGGGAACGUCUGACACAGGUGCUGCAUGGCUGUCGUCAGCUCGUGUCGUGAGAUGUUGGGUUAAGUCCCGUAACGAGCGCAACCCUUGUCCUUAGUUACCAGCACGUUAUGGUGGGCACUCUAAGGAGACUGCCGGUGACAAACCGGAGGAAGGUGGGGAUGACGUCAAGUCAUCUAUGGCCCUUACGGCCUUGGGCUACACACGUGCUACAAUGGUCGGUACAAAGGGUUGCCAAGCCGCGAGGUGGAGCUAAUCCCAUAAAACCGAUCGUAGUCCGGAUCGCAGUCUGCAACUCGACUGCGUGAAGUCGGAAUCGCUAGUAAUCGUGAAUCAGAAUGUCACGGUGAAUACGUUCCCGGGCCUU